GAUGAACGCUGGCGGCGUGCUUAACACAUGCAAGUCGAACGGAAAGGCCCUGCUUUUGUUGGUUGCUCGUGUGGCGAACGGUUGUGUAUCACGUGAGUAACCUGCCCUUGACUUUGGGAUAACUUCAGGAAACUGGGGCUAAUACCGGAUAGGAGCUCCUGCUGCAUGGUGGGGGUUGGAAAGUUUCGGCGGUUGGGGCUGGACUCGCGGCUUAUCAGCUUGUUGGUGGGGUAGUGGCUUACCAAGUCUUUGACGGGUAGCCGGCCUGAGAGCGUGAUCGGCUACAAUGGUACUGAGUGACGUACCAGACUUCUACGGGCGGCAGCAGUCGCGAAUAUUACACAAUAAGCCGACGCCUGUUGCAGCAACGCCGCGUGCGCGAUACCGGCCUUCGGGGUGUAAACCGCUUUCGCCUGUGACGAGCAGUGUUUGACGGUAAUUGGUAAAGAAGCAACGGCUAACUAUGUG
rnacentral:rRNA from 1 species